GAGCAGAUGACAAGCUAAAAUCGGAUUCCCCUUUCAGACAAGAUGCAAAAUCGAGUUUCUGAUGCU